rnacentral:rRNA from 1 species
AUUUUGUACAAUGGGGGCAACCCUGAUCCAGCCAUCCCGCGUGUGCGAUGAAGUCCUUCGGGUAGUAAAGCACUUUUGGCAUGGAAGCAUAGGCUCUGGCUAAUACCUGGAGCUGCUGACGCUACCUGCAGAAUAAGCACCGUCUAACUACGUGCCAGCAGCCGCGGUAAUACGUAGGGUGCAAGCGUUAAUCGGAAUUACUGGGCGUAAAGCGUGCGCAGGCGGUUCGGCAAGAAGGAUGUGGAAUCCCAGGGCUUAACCUUGGAACUGCAUUCUUAACUGCCGGGCUAGAGUAUGUCAGAGGGGGGUAGAAUUCCGCGUGUAGCAGUGAAAUGCGUAGAGAUGCGGAGGAAUACCGAUGGCGAAGGCAGCCCCCUGGGAUAAUACUGACGCUCAUGCACGAAAGCGUGGGGAGCAAAC